ensembl:antisense Gm12150 predicted gene 12150
GACUGAUGAGAGCAGAGAUGGAAGAACACUGUAGUUUGCUGGUUUCUAGAUGAGCUGAAAGCAAACCCCAGGGUCAAGAGACCCUGCCUCAAAGGAAUAGGUGUGUCUGUCACUACGUCUGGCUUUCUCUGUGCAUUCUAAUGCCUGACUACAGAGCUCCUCACACGUUCACAGCAAGCACAUUAUAGCCUGGGCUGUCUUCCCAGCACUCCAGACACACCAACUUACUACUGCCAAUGCAGAUGUGAACACUGUCACCUGCCCCAUCCUAUUUAAUCUGUGCAAUGACAGCCCCUUGGGAAUGAUCUACUUGUGAGUUGGUGUGAUUUAAAGGUUCCCAUAUGAAAACUUCCCAGGCACGCGGUCUUCCCUGUCUUCAAACUUACCUACGGGGAGGCAGAAGCACAACUUACUAGAGUAACUGAACCCAGGAUAGCAAAAUCUCACCUAUGAUGUCCGGAUGGUGUU